GCCAGACUCCUACGGGAGGCAGCAGUGGGGGAUAUUGCACAAUGGGGGAAACCCUGAUGCAGCGACGCCGCGUGAGUGAAGAAGUAUUUCGGUAUGUAAAGCUCUAUCAGCAGGGAAGAAGAAAGACGGUACCUGAGUAAGAAGCCCCGGCUAACUACGUGCCAGCAGCCGCGGUAAUACGUAGGGGGCAAGCGUUAUCCGGAUUUACUGGGUGUAAAGGGAGCGUAGACGGUAUGGCAAGUCUGAAGUGAAAGCCCCGGGCUCAACCUGGGAACUGCUUUGGAAACUGUUAAACUAGAGUGCUGGAGAGGCAGGCGGAAUUCCUAGUGUAGCGGUGAAAUGCGUAGAUAUUAGGAGGAACACCAGUGGCGAAGGCGGCCUGCUGGACAGUAACUGACGUUGAGGCUCGAAAGCGUGGGGAGCAAACAGGAUUAGAUACCCCCGUAA
rnacentral:rRNA from 1 species